rnacentral:rRNA from 1 species
UACGUAGGGUGCAAGCGUUAAUCGGAAUUACUGGGCGUAAAGCGUGCGCAGGCGGUUUUUGUAAGUCUGUCGUGAAAUCCCCCGGGCUCAACCUGGGGAAUUGCGUUGGAGACUGCAAGGCUGGAGUCUGGCAGAGGGGGGGUAGAAUUCCACGUGUAGCAGUGAAAUGCGUAGAGAUGUGGAGGAACACCAGUGGCGAAGGCGGCUCACUGGUCCGGUACUGGACGCUGAGGUG